GGUCCCAUGUGGCUUAGUUGGUAGAGCAUGGCGCUUGUAACGGCAGGGUUGUGGGUUCGAUUCCCAUGCGGGACCA